rnacentral:misc_RNA from 1 species
UCUCCGUUGGUGAACCUGCGGAAGGAUCAUUAUUGUAUAACCGAGGUGCGAGGGCUGUCGCUGACCCGAAAGGUCGUGCACGCCCGAGUGCCCUCACACACAUCCAUCUCACCCCUAUGUGCACCACCGCGUGGGUCCCCCUUUGGCUUGUUCGGAGGGGGGCUUACGUUUUCACACAAACUUUGUAUGCAGUGUAGAAUGUAUUUUUUGUUUUUGCGAUCACGCAAUCAAUACGACUUUCAACAACGGAUCUCUUGGCUCUC